rnacentral:tRNA from 1 species
GCCCUGGUGGUGAAAUUGGUAGACACAAGGGAUUUAAAAUCCCUCGACUUUCGAGUCGUGCCGGUUCAAGUCCGGCACGGGGCACCA